GACGAACCCUUGCGGCGUGCUUAACACAUGCAAGUCGAACGGAAAGGCCCUGCUUUUGUGGGGUGCUCGAGUGGCGAACGGGUGAGUAACACGUGAGUAACCUGCCCUUGACUUUGGGAUAACUUCAGGAAACUGGGGCUAAUACCGGAUAGGAGCUCCUGCUGCAUGGUGGGGGUUGGAGAGUUUCGGCGGUUGGGGAUGGACUCGCGGCUUAUCAGCUUGUUGGUGGGGUAGUGGCUUACCAAGGCUUUGACGGGUAGCCGGCCUGAGAGGGUGACCGGCCACAUUGGGACUGAGAUACGGCCCAGACUCCUACGGGAGGCAGCAGUGGGGAAUAUUGCACAAUGGGCGGAAGCCUGAUGCAGCAACGCCGCGUGCGGGAUGACGGCCUUCGGGUUGUAAACCGCUUUCGCCUGUGACGAAGCGUGAGUGACGGUAAUGGGUAAAGAAGCACCGGCUAACUACGUGCCAGCAGCCGCGGUGAUACGUAGGGUGCGAGCGUUGUCCGGAUUUAUUGGGCGUAAAGGGCUCGUAGGUGGUUGAUCGCGUCGGAAGUGUAAUCUUGGGGCUUAACCCUGAGCGUGCUUUCGAUACGGGUUGACUUGAGGAAGGUAGGGGAGAAUGGAAUUCCUGGUGGAGCGGUGGAAUGCGCAGAUAUCAGGAGGAACACCAGUGGCGAAGGCGGUUCUCUGGGCCUUUCCUGACGCUGAGGAGCGAAAGCGUGGGGAGCGAACAGGCUUAGAUACCCUGGUAGUCCACGCUGUAAACGGUGGGUACUAGGUGUGGGGUCCAUUCCACGGGUUCCGUGCCGUAGCUAACGCUUUAAGUACCCCGCCUGGGGAGUACGGCCGCAAGGCUAAAACUCAAAGGAAUUGACGGGGCCCCGCACAAGCGGCGGAGCAUGCGGAUUAAUUCGAUGCAACGCGUAGAACCUUACCUGGGUUUGACAUGGAUCGGGAGUGCUCAGAGAUGGGUGUGCCUCUUUUGGGGUCGGUUCACAGGUGGUGCAUGCCUGUCGUCAGCUCGUGUCGUGAGAUGUUGGGUUAAGUCCCGCAACGAGCGCAACCCUUGUUCACUGUUGCCAGCACGUUAUGGUGGGGACUCAGUGGAGACCGCCGGGGUCAACUCGGAGGAAGGUGGGGAUGACGUCAAGUCCUCAUGCCCCUUAUGUCCAGGGCUUCACGCAUGCUACAAUGGCUGGUACAGAGAGUGGCGAGCCUGUGAGGGUGAGCGAAUCUCGGAAAGCCGGUCUCAGUUCGGAUUGGGGUCUGCAACUCGACCUCAUGAAGUCGGAGUCGCUAGUAAUCGCAAAUCAGCAACGCUGCGGUGAAUACGUUCCCGGGGC
rnacentral:rRNA from 1 species